UCGAGGAGCUCACAGUCUAGUAUGUCUCAGCCCUACUAGACUGAGGCUCCUUGAGG
ensembl:miRNA MIR151A microRNA 151a